rnacentral:rRNA from 1 species
AUUGAACGCUGGCGGCAGGCCUAACACAUGCAAGUCGAACGAGUGGCGGACGGGUGAGUAAUGUCUGGGAAACUGCCUGAUGGAGGGGGAUAACUACUGGAAACGGUAGCUAAUACCGUAUACUACAAGAUGCGCCCAGAGGGGACUAGCUAGUUGGUGGGGUAACGGCUCACAAAGGCGACGAUCUCUAGCUGGUCUGAGAGGAUGACCAGCCACGCUGGAACUGAGACACGGUCCAGACUCCUACGGGAGGCAGCAGUGGGGAAUAUUGCACAAUGGGCGCAAGCCUGAUGCAGCCAUGCCGCGUGUAUGAAGAAGGCCUUCGGGUUGUAAAGAACUUUCAGCGGGGAGGCGUUACCCGCAGAAGAAGCACCGGCUAACUCCGUGCCAGCAGCCGCGGUAAUAC